AGUACCGUGAGGGAAAGGUGAAAAGAACCCCGGGAGGGGAGUGAAAGAGAACCUGAAACCCUGCACUUACAAGCUGUGGGAGCACAUUACUUGUGUGACCGCGUACUUUUUGUAGAACGGGCCAACGAGUUACGUUAAGUAGCAAGGUUAAGCACUUAAGGUGUGGAGCCGUAGCGAAAGCGAGUCUUAAAUGGGCGAUUAAGUUACUUGGCGUAGACCCGAAACCGGGCGACCUAUCCAUGAGCAGGUUGAAGCGAAAGUAAAAUUUCGUGGAGGACCGAACCCACGAGCGUUGAAAAGCUCGGGGAUGACUUGUGGAUAGCGGUGAAAUUCCAAUCGAGCCCGGAGAUAGCUGGUUCUCCCCGAAAUAGCUUUAGGGCUAGCCUCAAGCGUAGAGAAACGGAGGUAGAGCACUGAAUGUCCUAGGGGGUAUUGCACUUACCGAAGACUAUCAAACUCCGAAUGCCGUAUUCUUUUGCUUGGGAGUCAGACUAUGGGUGAUAAGAUUCAUAGUCAAGAGGGCAACAGCCCAGAUCGUCAGCUAAGGUCCCUAAAUGUACGUUAAGUGGUAAAGGAUGUGGAAUUGCACAGACAACCAGGAUGUUGGCUUAGAAGCAGCCACUCAUUUAAAGAGUGCGUAAUAGCUCACUGGUCGAGUGAUCCUGCGCCGAAAAUUUCCGGGGCUAAAACGUACUACCGAAGCUACGGCAUCAUUUAUGAUGGGUAGGGGAGCUUCGUAUGCAGGCUGAAGCAUGACCGUAAGGACAUGUGGACAGUAUACGAGUGAGAAUGUUGGCAUGAGUAGCGAGAUGUGGGUGAGAAUCCCACAGGCCGUAAACCCAAGGUUUCCAGGGGAAGGUUCGUCCGCCCUGGGUUAGUCGGGACCUAAGCCGAGGCCGAAAGGCGUAGGUGAUGGACAACAGGUUGAUAUUCCUGUACCACCAAUAACCGUUUGAGAAAUGGGAUGACACAGUAGGAUAAGCUAACCGCACUGUUGGUUAUGUGCGGGCAAGUAUUGAGGCAGUUCCGAUAGGCAAAUCCGUCGGAAUAAUGCUGGGGUACGAUGCGGAGCGAAAUUUAGUAGCGAAGUAGCUGAUUUCACACUGUCGAGAAAAGUCUCUAUCGAGGUUAAAGGUGCCUGUACCGCAAACCGACACAGGUGGGUGAGGAGAGUAUCCUAAGGCCAGCGAGAGAACUGUUGUUAAGGAACUCGGCAAAAUGACCCCGUAACUUAGGGAGAAGGGGUGCCUUCGAAAGAAGGCCGCAGAGAAUAGGCCCAAGCGACUGUUUACCAAAAACAUAGGUUUCUGCUAAGUCGCAAGACGAUGUAUAGGAGCUGACGCCUGCCCGGUGCUGGAAGGUUAAGGGGAUCUGUUAGAGCAAUCGAAGCAGUGAACUUAAGCCCCAGUAAACGGCGGCCGUAACUAUAACGGUCCUAAGGUAGCGAAAUUCCUUGUCGGGUAAGUUCCGACCCGCACGAAAGGCGUAACGAUUUGGGCACUGUCUCAACAACAGACUCGGUGAAAUUGUAAUACCGGUGAAGAUGCCGGUUACCUGCGACAGGACGGAAAGACCCCAUGGAGCUUUACUGUAGCUUGACAUUGAGUCUCGGUGCUACAUGUACAGGAUAGGUGGGAGACUAUGAAGCAUGGACGUCAGUCUGUGUGGAGUCAUCCUUGGGAUACCACCCUUGUAGUACUGGGAUUCUAACCAGAGGCCAUGAAUCUGGUCUUGGGACACUGUCAGGUGGACAGUUUGACUGGGGCGGUCGCCUCCCAAAAAGUAACGGAGGCGCUCAAAGGUUCUCUCAGUACGGUCGGAAAUCGUACGAAGAGUGUAAAGGCAAAAGAGAGCUUGAUUGCAAGACAUACAGGUCGAGCAAGGACGAAAGUCGGACUUAGUGAUCCGGUGGUACCGCAUGGAAGGGCCAUCGCUCAACGGAUAAAAGCUACCCUGGGGAUAACAGGCUGAUCUCCCCCAA
rnacentral:rRNA from 1 species